UUUCUUUUUUUUCAUCAUUUUUUUAUUGCAUUAUUUUUUUGAAAAUAAACAUGCUAUGAUGCAAAUGAUGCAACUAUGACUGGUUGGCUGUGUAUCUCAAGGCACAGGUUCAGAACUUUGGCAUGAAUUCAGAACCGGAAAUCACAGACCAAAGUCAUCUGGAACCCAAGGUCAUCUGGAACCCAUACUUCAGAACCAAGUCACCAACAGGACC
rnacentral:lncRNA from 1 species